rnacentral:sRNA from 1 species
UGUGAGGGUGGUGGAUCUGUUGCUGCUCAGAACUUCAGAGUGUCCCCACAUAGGGUCCCUGAAGUGUCCUGGGUUCCUGUUUCCAGGCAUCUGGGUCACAGGCCCCAGUUCCACCCCCUGAAGCACGGAUUUGAUGAGUGGUUUGGAUCCCCCAACUGCCAUUUUGGACCUUAUGACAACAAGGCCAGGCCCAACAUUCCUGUGUACAGGGACUGGGAGAUGGUUGGCAGGUAUUAUGAAGAAUUUCCUAUUAAUCUGAAGACGGGGGAAGCCAACCUCACCCAGAUCUACCUGCAGGAAGCCCUGGACUUCAUUAAGAGACAGGCGCGGCACCACCCCUUCUUCCUCUACUGGGCUGUGGACGCCACGCACGCACCCGUCUAUGCCUCCAAACCCUUCUUGGGCACCAGUCAGCGAGGGCGGUAUGGAGACGCCGUCCGGGAGAUUGAUGACAGUAUUGGGAAGAUGCUGGAGCUCCUCCAAGACCUGCACGUCGCAGACAACACCUUCGUCUUCUUCACGUCGGACAACGGCGCUGCCCUCAUUUCCACCCCUGAACAAGGUGGCAGCAACGGCCCCUUUCUGUGUGGGAAGCAGACCACGUUUGAAGGAGGGAUGAGGGAGCCUGCC